rnacentral:sRNA from 1 species
GUAUGGUGCUGGGUGCAGAUGCAAUGUGGCUCUGGAUAGCACCUUAUGGACAGUUGUGUCCCAAAGGAAGGAUGAGAAUAGCUACUGAAGUCCUAAAGAGCAAGCCUAACUCAAGCCAUUGGCACACCGGCAUUAGACAGAAAACUGGAAGUUGAAAUGGUGGAGUCCAACUUGUCUGGACCAGCUUAAUGGUUCUGCUCCUGGUAACGUUUUUAUCCACGGAUGGCUUGCUUGGGUAAGGACGUGAAGACAGUUCCUGUCAUACCUUUUUUAAAGGUACAUAUUUUGUUGAUGUUAAUGUGAAUUGAUUGAGCUACUGUUAGUGAUGAUUUUAAAAUUAAAACAGAUGGGAAUCUCUCUGAGAAAGAAAAUGGAGAUUAAUCUUAAACUGAAACAGUAGUUGGGAAAUCUUUUAGAAAUCCACCUAUUACUAUCUAUUGGUAAAGGAGAUUAUAAAUUUCUGCAGGUAUGGAGAGUCGGCUUGACUACACUGUGUGGAGCAAGUUUUAAAGAAGCAAAGGUAUAGCAGUCCCAAGUUUUUUUUUUUUUUUUUUUUUUUGAGACAAGAGCCUAGCUCUUACGCAGAAUGGAGUGCACCGGCACUAUCAGCUCACUGCAACCUAUGCCUCCCGGGUUCAAGGAAUUCUCCUGCCUCAGCCUCCUAAGUAGCUGGGAUUACAGGCAUGUGACACCAUGCCUGGCUGAUUUUUGUACAGCUAUGUUGUCCAGGCUGGUCUCAAACUCUUGACCUCAAGUGAUCUGGUGACACUGACCUCCCAAAGUGCUGGGAUUACAGGUGUGAGCCACUGCGCCCCGCCUCAAGUCUGGUUCUUAAGUGUUGUAAAGCCGAUACAAUGAUGAUAACAUAGUUCAGCAGACUAACACUGAUGAGCAAUAUUAAGUCUUUCGCUCCUAUCUGAUGUAUCUGGCGGUAACAUUCUAGUUUAUGCCCUGAAAAGGGGAAUAUAGCCAUUCUAUAACGUUUGGAGAUUUUGGAUUACUCCUAAUUGUAUGCAAGUUGUCUUACUGUGUAUUGUCCCUUAAUUUCAGGACUCAGAAUUCAUGCUUGAAGAAAUGCAGGUUAGUUUAAACUUUUAAGGAAAUUUUUAAGGUGGCAAAAGGUU